GACGAACGCUGGCGGCGUGCCUAAUACAUGCAAGUAGAACGCUGAAGAGAGGAGCUUGCUCUUCUUGGAUGAGUUGCGAACGGGUGAGUAACGCGUAGGUAACCUGCCUGGCAGCGGGGGAUAACUAUUGGAAACGAUAGCUAAUACCGCAUAAAAUUGAUUAUUGCAUGAUAAUUAAUUGAAAGAUGCAAUUGCAUCACUACCAGAUGGACCUGCGUUGUAUUAGCUAGUUGGUGAGGUAACGGCUCACCAAGGCGACGAUACAUAGCCGACCUGAGAGGGUGAUCGGCCACACUGGGACUGAGACACGGCCCAGACUCCUACGGGAGGCAGCAGUAGGGAAUCUUCGGCAAUGGGGGGAACCCUGACCGAGCAACGCCGCGUGAGUGAAGAAGGUUUUCGGAUCGUAAAGCUCUGUUGUAAGA
rnacentral:rRNA from 1 species